AGUAUUUGGUAUCUGCGCUCCACCAAGCCAGUUACCUGGUUAAGCAGUUCCCCAACUGACUUAACCUUUGAUGAAACCGCCUCCCCAGGCGGUUUUUUCGU
rnacentral:antisense_RNA from 1 species